rnacentral:lncRNA from 1 species
AUGCUCAAAAUUCUCCAAGCCAGGCUUCAGCAAUAUGUGAAGCGUGAACUUCCAGAUAUUCAAGCUGGUUUUAGAAAAGGCAGAGGAACCAGAGAUCAAAUUGCCAACAUCCGCUUGGUCGUGGAAAAAGCAAGAGAGUUCCAGAAAAACAUCUAUUUCUGCUUUAUUGACUAUGCCAAAGCCUUUGACUGUGUGGAUCAUAAUAAACUGUGGAAAAUUCUGAAAGAGAUGGGAAUACCAGACCACCUGACCUGCCUCUUGAGAAACCUGUAUACAGGUCAGGAAGCAACAGUUAGACCUGGACAUGGAACAACAGACUGGUUCCAAAUAGGGAAAGGAGUACGUCAAGGCUGUAUAUUGUCACCCUGGUUAUUUAACUUCUAUGCAGAGUAUAUCAUGAGAAACGCUGGGCUGGAAGAAGCACAAGCUGGAAUCAAGAUUGCUGGGAGAAACAUCAGUAACCUCAGAUACGCAGAUGACACCACCCUUAUGGCAGAAAGUGAAGAAGAGCUAAAAAGCCUCUUAAUGAAAGUGAAAGAGGAGAGUGAGAAAGUUGACUUAAAGCUUUACAUUCAGAAAACUAAGAUUAUGGCAUCUGGUCCCAUCACUUCAUGGGAAAUAGAUGGGGAAACAGUGGAAACAGUGUCAGACUUUAUAUUUUUGGGCUCCAAAAUCACUGCAGAUGGUGACUGCAGCCAUGAAAUUAAAAGACAUUUACUCCUUGGAAGGAAAGUUAUGACCAACCUAGAUAGCAUAUUGAAAAGCAGAGACAUUACUUUGCCAACAAAGGUCCGUCUAGUCAAGGCUAUGGUUUUUCCAGUGGUCAUGUAUGAAUGUGAGAGUUGGACUGUGAAGAAAGCUGAGUGCCGAAGAACUGAUGCUUUUGAACUGUGGUGUUGGAGAAGACUCUUGAGAGUCCCUUGGACUGCAAGGAGAUCCAACCAGUCCAUUCUAAAGGAGAUCAGCCCUGGGUGUUCAUUGGAAGGACUGAUGCUGAAGCUGAAACUCCAAUAUUUUGGCCACCUCAUGCGAAGAGUUGACCCAUUGGAAAAGACCCUGAUGCUGGGAGGGAUUGAGGGCAGGAGGAGAAGGGGAUGA